GUUGAAUAACCUGGUCUCAGGUCUGUUUAGGGGGCUGUUGAAUAGCCUGGUCCCAGGUCUGUUUAGGGGGCUGUUGAAUAACCUGGUCUCAGGUCUGUUUAGGGGGCUGUUGAAUAGCCUGGUCCCAGGUCUGUUUAGGGGGCUGUUGAAUAGCUUGGACCCAGAUCAGUUUAGGGGGCUGUUGAAUAGCUUGGACCCAGGUCUGUUUAGGGGGCUGUUGAAUAGCUUGGACCCAGGUCAGUUUAGGGGGCUGUUGAAUAGCCUGGUCCCAGCUCAGUUUAGGGGGCUGUUGAAUAGCCUGCUCCCAGGUCUGUUUAGGGGGCUGUUGAAUAACCUGCUCUCAGGUCUGUUUAGGGGGCUGUUGAAUAGCCUGGUCUCAGGUCUGUUUAGGGGGCUGUUAAAUAGCCUGGUCCCAGGUCUGUUUAGGAGGCUGUUGAAUAGCCUUGUUCCAGGUCAGUUUAGGGGGCUGUUGAAUAGCCUGGUCCCAGGUCUGUUUAGGGGGCUGUUGAAUAGCCUUGUUCCAGGUCAGUUUAGGGGGCUGUUGAAUAGCCUGGUCCCAGGUCUGUUUAGGGGGCUGUUGAAUAACCUGGUCUCAGGUCUGUUUAGGGGGCUGUUAAAUAGCCUGGUCCCAGGUCAGUUUAGGGAGCUGUUGAAUAGCCUUGUUCCAGGUCAGUUUAGGGGGCUGUUGAAUAGCCUUGUUCCAGGUCUGUUUGUACAUGUGUCUACUCCAUUGAGGAGCCAGGCUAGAGGGAGGAGCCAGGCUAGAGGGAGGAGCCAGGCUAGAGGGAGGAGUCAGGCUAGAGGGAGGAGCCAGGCUAGAGGAGCCAGGGGAGCCAGGCUAGAGGAGCCAGGGGAGCCAGGCUAGGGGAGCCAGGCUAGGGGAGCCAGGCUAGAGGAGCCAGGCUAGAGGAGCCAGGCUAGAGGAGCCAGGCUAGAGGAGCCAGGCUAGGGGAGCCAGGCUAGAGGAGCCAGGCUAGAGGAGCCAGGCUAGAGGAGCCAGGGGAGCCAGGCUAGAGGAGCCAGGCUGGAGGAGCCAGGCUAGAGGAGCCAGGCUGGAGGAGCCAGGCUAGAGGAGCCAGGGGAGCCAGGCUAGAGGAGCCAGGGGAGCCAGGCUAGAUGAGCCAGGCUGGAGGAGCCAGGCUAGAGGAGCCAGGGGAGCCAGGCUAGAGGAGCCAGGCUAGAGGAGCCAAGCUAGGGGAGCCAGGCUAGAGGAGCCAGGGGAGCCAGGCUAGAGGAGCCAGGGGAGCCAGGCUAGAGGAGCCAGGCUAGAGAGGCCAGGGGAACCAGGCUAGAGGAGCCAGGCUAGAGGAGCCAGGCUAGAGGAGCCAGGGGAGCCAGGCUAGAGGAGCCAGGCUGGAGGAGCCAGGCUAGAGGAGCCAGGGGAGCCAGGCUGUAGGAGCCAGGUUAGGGGAGCCAGGGGAGCCAGGCUAGAGGAGCCAGGGGAGCCAGGCUAGAGGAGCCAGGCUGGAGGAGCCAGGCUAGAGGAGCCAGGGGAGCCAGGCUAGAGGAGCCAGGCUAGAGGAGCCAAGCUAGGGGAGCCAGGCUAGAGGAGCCAGGGGAGCCAGGCUAGAGGAGCCAGGGGAGCCAGGCUAGAGGAGCCAGGCUAGAGGAGCCAGGCUAGGGGAGCCAGGCUAGGGGAGCCAGGGGAGCCAGGCUAGAGGAGCCAGGCUAGAGGAGCCAAGCUAGGGGAGCCAGGCUAGAGGAGCCAGGCUAGAGGAGCCAGGCUAGAGGAGCCAGGCUGGAGGAGCUAGGCUAGAGGAGCCAGGCUAGAGGAGCCAGGGGAGCCAGGCUAGAGGAGCCAGGCUAGAGGAGCCAGGCUGGAGGAGCUAGGCUAGAGGAGCCAGGCUAGAGGAGCCAGGGGAGCCAGGCUAGAGGAGCCAGGGGAGCCAGGCUAGGGGAGCCAGGCUAGAGGAGCCAGGGGAGUCAGGCUAGAGGAGCCAGGCUAGAGGAGCCAGGCUGGAGGAGCCAGGCUAGACGAGCCAGGGGAGCCAGGCAGGAGGAGCCAGGCUAGAGGAGCCAAGUUAGGGCAGCCAGGCUAGAGGAGCCAGGGGAGCCAGGCUAGAGGAGCCAGGCUAGAGGAGCCAGGGGAGCCAGGGGAGCCAGGCUAGAGGAGCCAGGCUGGAGGAGCCAGGCUGGAGGAGCCAGGCUAGAGGAGCCAGAGGAGCCAGGCUAGAGGAGCCAGGCUAGGGGAGCCAGGCUAGAGGAGCCAGGGGAGCCAGGCUAGAGGAGCCAGGGGAGCCAGGCUAGAGGAGCCAGGCUAGAGGAGCCAGGCUAGGGGAGCCAGGCUAGAGGAGCCAGGCUAGGGGAGCCAGGCUAGAGGAGCCAGGCUAGAGGAGCCAGGCUAGAGGAGCCAGGCUAGAGGAGCCAGGCUAGGGGAGGAUUAGUAGGAGGAGAUGGGAGGCAACUGGCUGCAAUGAUGUCAUUAUGGCUCAUACCUGGUUGUCAUGUAAGGAAUGAUGUCAUUAUAGCUUAUACCUGGUUGUCAUGUAAGGAAUGAUGUCAUUAUAGCUUAUACCUGGUUGUCAGGUAAGGAAUGAUGCCUUUAUACUCACACCUGGUUGUCAUGUAAGGAAUGAUGUCAUUAUAGCUUAUACCUG
rnacentral:lncRNA from 1 species